rnacentral:rRNA from 1 species
UACGGAGGGUGCAAGCAUUAAUCGGAUUUAUUGGGCGUAAAGGGCGCGUAGGCGGAGAUAAUAGUCAGAUGUGAAAUCCUGGGGCUCAACCUCAGAACUGCAUUUGAAACUGUAUCUAUAGAGGGUAGGAGGAGAAAACGGAAUUCCACAAGUAGCGGUGAAAUGCGUAGAUAUGUGGAAGAACACCGGUGGCGAAGGCGGUUUUCUAUCUUAUUCCUGACGCUGAGGCGCGAAAGCAAGGGGAUCAAACAGG